rnacentral:rRNA from 1 species
CCUACGGGGGGCAGCAGUGAGGAAUAUUGGUCAAUGGACGAGAGUCUGAACCAGCCAAGUAGCGUGAAGGAUGACUGCCCUAUGGGUUGUAAACUUCUUUUAUAUGGGAAUUAAAUGUUCCACGUGUGGGAUUUUGUAUGUACCAUAUGAAUAAGGAUCGGCUAACUCCGUGCCAGCAGCAGCGGUAAUACGGAGGAUCCGAGCGUUAUCCGGAUUUAUUGGGUGUAAGGGGAGCGUAGGUGGAUUGUUAAGUAAGUUGUGAAAGUUUGCGGCGCAACCGUAAAAUUGCAGUUGAAACUGGCAGUCUUGAGUACAGUAGAGGUGGGCGGAAUUCGUGGUGUAGCGGUGAAAUGCUUAGAUAUCACGAAGAACUCCGAUUGCGAAGGCAGUUCACUGGACUGCAACUGACACUGAGGCUCGAAAGUGUGGGUAUCAAACAGGAUUAGAUACCCUUGUAGUC